AUACAGUCCACUCACAUUUGAAUGAGCUAUAACAGAGCUAUGUUAUAGCUCAUUCAAAUGUGAGUGGACUGUAU